AGAUUAAGUUAUUAAGGGCGCACGGUGGAUGCCUUGGCACUAGAAGCCGAUGAAGGACGUUACUAACGACGAUAUGCUUUGGGGAGCUGUAAGUAAGCUUUGAUCCAGAGAUUUCCGAAUGGGGAAACCCAGCAUGAGUUAUGUCAUGUUAUCGAUAUGUGAAUACAUAGCAUAUCAGAAGGCACACCCGGAGAACUGAAACAUCUUAGUACCCGGAGGAAGAGAAAGAAAAUUCGAUUCCCUUAGUAGCGGCGAGCGAAACGGGAAGAGCCCAAACCAACAAGCUUGCUUGUUGGGGUUGUAGGACACUCUAUACGGAGUUACAAAGGACGACAUUAGACGAAUCAUCUGGAAAGAUGAAUCAAAGAAGGUAAUAAUCCUGUAGUCGAAAAUGUUGUCUCUCUUGAGUGAAUCCUGAGUACGACGGAGCACGUGAAAUUCCGUCGGAAUCUGGGAGGACCAUCUCCUAAGGCUAAAUACUCUCUAGUGACCGAUAGUGAACCAGUACCGUGAGGGAAAGGUGAAAAGCACCCCGGAAGGGGAGUGAAAUAGAACCUGAAACCGUGUGCUUACAAGUAGUCAGAGCCCGUUAAUGGGUGAUGGCGUGCCUUUUGUAGAAUGAACCGGCGAGUUACGAUUUGAUGCAAGGUUAAGCAGUAAAUGUGGAGCCGUAGCGAAAGCGAGUCUGAAUAGGGCGUUUAGUAUUUGGUCGUAGACCCGAAACCAGGUGAUCUACCCUUGGUCAGGUUGAAGUUCAGGUAACACUGAAUGGAGGACCGAACCGACUUACGUUGAAAAGUGAGCGGAUGAACUGAGGGUAGCGGAGAAAUUCCAAUCGAACCUGGAGAUAGCUGGUUCUCUCCGAAAUAGCUUUAGGGCUAGCCUCAAGUGAUGAUUAUUGGAGGUAGAGCACUGUUUGGACGAGGGGCCCCUCUCGGGUUACCGAAUUCAGACAAACUCCGAAUGCCAAUUAAUUUAACUUGGGAGUCAGAACAUGGGUGAUAAGGUCCGUGUUCGAAAGGGAAACAGCCCAGACCACCAGCUAAGGUCCCAAAAUAUAUGUUAAGUGGAAAAGGAUGUGGCGUUGCCCAGACAACUAGGAUGUUGGCUUAGAAGCAGCCAUCAUUUAAAGAGUGCGUAAUAGCUCACUAGUCGAGUGACACUGCGCCGAAAAUGUACCGGGGCUAAACAUAUUACCGAAGCUGUGGAUUGUCCUUUGGACAAUGGUAGGAGAGCGUUCUAAGGGCGUUGAAGCAUGAUCGUAAGGACAUGUGGAGCGCUUAGAAGUGAGAAUGCCGGUGUGAGUAGCGAAAGACGGGUGAGAAUCCCGUCCACCGAUUGACUAAGGUUUCCAGAGGAAGGCUCGUCCGCUCUGGGUUAGUCGGGUCCUAAGCUGAGGCCGACAGGCGUAGGCGAUGGAUAACAGGUUGAUAUUCCUGUACCACCUAUAAUCGUUUUAAUCGAUGGGGGGACGCAGUAGGAUAGGCGAAGCGUGCGAUUGGAUUGCACGUCUAAGCAGUAAGGCUGAGUAUUAGGCAAAUCCGGUACUCGUUAAGGCUGAGCUGUGAUGGGGAGAAGACAUUGUGUCUUCGAGUCGUUGAUUUCACACUGCCGAGAAAAGCCUCUAGAUAGAAAAUAGGUGCCCGUACCGCAAACCGACACAGGUAGUCAAGAUGAGAAUUCUAAGGUGAGCGAGCGAACUCUCGUUAAGGAACUCGGCAAAAUGACCCCGUAACUUCGGGAGAAGGGGUGCUCUUUAGGGUUAACGCCCAGAAGAGCCGCAGUGAAUAGGCCCAAGCGACUGUUUAUCAAAAACACAGGUCUCUGCUAAACCGUAAGGUGAUGUAUAGGGGCUGACGCCUGCCCGGUGCUGGAAGGUUAAGAGGAGUGGUUAGCUUCUGCGAAGCUACGAAUCGAAGCCCCAGUAAACGGCGGCCGUAACUAUAACGGUCCUAAGGUAGCGAAAUUCCUUGUCGGGUAAGUUCCGACCCGCACGAAAGGCGUAACGAUUUGGGCACUGUCUCAACGAGAGACUCGGUGAAAUCAUAGUACCUGUGAAGAUGCAGGUUACCCGCGACAGGACGGAAAGACCCCGUGGAGCUUUACUGUAGCCUGAUAUUGAAAUUCGGCACAGCUUGUACAGGAUAGGUAGGAGCCUUUGAAACGUGAGCGCUAGCUUACGUGGAGGCGCUGGUGGGAUACUACCCUAGCUGUGUUGGCUUUCUAACCCGCACCACUUAUCGUGGUGGGAGACAGUGUCAGGCGGGCAGUUUGACUGGGGCGGUCGCCUCCUAAAAGGUAACGGAGGCGCUCAAAGGUUCCCUCAGAAUGGUUGGAAAUCAUUCAUAGAGUGUAAAGGCAUAAGGGAGCUUGACUGCGAGACCUACAAGUCGAGCAGGGUCGAAAGACGGACUUAGUGAUCCGGUGGUUCCGCAUGGAAGGGCCAUCGCUCAACGGAUAAAAGCUACCCCGGGGAUAACAGGCUUAUCUCCCCCAAGAGUUCACAUCGACGGGGAGGUUUGGCACCUCGAUGUCGGCUCAUCGCAUCCUGGGGCUGUAGUCGGUCCCAAGGGUUGGGCUGUUCGCCCAUUAAAGCGGUACGCGAGCUGGGUUCAGAACGUCGUGAGACAGUUCGGUCCCUAUCCGUCGUGGGCGUAGGAAAUUUGAGAGGAGCUGUCCUUAGUACGAGAGGACCGGGAUGGACAUACCUCUGGUGUACCAGUUGUCGUGCCAACGGCAUAGCUGGGUAGCUAUGUGUGGACGGGAUAAGUGCUGAAAGCAUCUAAGCAUGAAGCCCCCCCUCAAGAUGAGAUUUCCCAACUUCGGUUAUAAGAUCCCUCAAAGAUGAUGAGGUUAAUAGGUUCGAGGUGGAAGCAUGGUGACAUGUGGAGCUGACGAAUACUAAUCGAUCGAAGACUUAAUCAAAUU
rnacentral:rRNA from 1 species